UUUGUCUUUGCACCGGUUACCAAGAAGUGAAAAUAGAAAAGGAAAAUGGUUAGAAGCAAUUGAAACUGAAAAUAUCAAGCCAAAUGUAAAGGAUAUAAUUAUCAUAGUAUGUUCCCUACAUUUCCCCGAAAGUGCUUUCAAUAGAACAAUGGAUGUGAUUAGUCUGCACGAUGAUGCUAUACCAGUAUGUCUGCCGCUGCAUUCACACAGGGUACCAGUUGAGCCUCAAAUCCCGAACUCAAAAAUGAACAGAGUGAAUCCGAGUGCAUCCCAGGCUGCA